GGUUCAGCUCCAAGUGGGGAAAAAGACACUGGAAACAUGGAGACUGCUUGGAAAGAUGGUUUAAUGGUGGACAGGAUCACAUGGCUUGAGUUCCUUAACAGAAAAGGGACGAGAUACAGAAAGGGAUGGGUGCUAACUUCCUACACUCUGAAGUGGCAAACAAGUCUGAACUAGUCUAGUCUGCCUCUCUGAACUGAUCUGAAACAGGAGAACCACUACUGGUAUUCUACAUUUAUCUUCAUGUGUUCUAUGUAUAUAAAGAAGUUAAUGAAUCCUGCUGC